AAAACUUUCAACAACGGAUCUCUUGGUUCUGGCAUCGAUGAAGAACGCAGCGAAAUGCGAUAAGUAAUGUGAAUUGCAGAAUUCAGUGAAUCAUCGAAUCUUUGAACGCACAUUGCGCCCCUUGGUAUUCCGGGGGGCAUGCCUGUCCGAGCGUCAUUG
rnacentral:rRNA from 1 species